GGGGGGGGGGGGGGGGGGGGCGGGGGGAGGGGGGUCGGGGGGAGGGGCGAGGAGGUGGCUUGGCUGAUGGUUGCGGCGGAGGGGUGUGGAACACGUGGGUCACCUACCUCUCAGGCUGGGUUAACUUCGGGGAGGCGGGGCGAGUCCCGGAUAAUCUUUUGAUCCGCAUGGUUGAAAAGUGCAAGCCGGUCCUGCUGUCCAUUAUAUCUUGAUCCGCGCUGCUUUAGCUAGUUUGUAAGGUAACGGCUUUCCAAGGCAACGCGGCAUAGCCGACCUGGGAGGGUGAUCGGCCACACUGGAACGGAGACACGGGCCAGACUCCAAAGGGAGGCAGCAGUAGGGAAUCUUCCGCAAUGGGCGAAAGCCUGACGGAGCAACGCCGCGUGAGUGAUGAGGGUCUUCGGAUCGUAAAACUCUGUUAUUAGGGAAGAACAUAUUUGUAAGUAACUGUGCACAUCUUGAAGGUACCUAAUCAGAAAACCACGGCUAACUACGUG
rnacentral:rRNA from 1 species